rnacentral:RNase_P_RNA from 1 species
CGAGCCGGCCGGGCGGCCGCGUCGGGCGCUCUUGCAGGCGCUCGCCGAGGAAGGUCCGGACUCCACAGAGCAGGGUGGUGGGCAACACCCACCCGAGGUGACUCGCGGGACAGUGCCACAGAGACAGACCGCCAGCGGCCCGGACGUGGCAACGCGUGCGUGCGGGUGCGGGUAAGGGUGAAACGGUGGUGUAAGAGACCACCAGCGUGCCGGGUGACCGGGACGGCUGGGUAAACCCCACCUGGAGCAAGGCCAAGAGGGCGACGGGAGACCGGCGCCUGCGCAGGCGAUCGAGGGCUGCUCGCCCGAGCCUGCGGGUAGGCCGCACGAGGGCACCGGUAACGGUGCCCCUAGAUGGAUGGUCGCCGGGGCGCGUCAGCGCUCGCACAGGAUCCGGCCUACAGGCCGGCUCGUCCC